AGCGUACACGGUGGAUGCCCUGGCAGUCAGAGGCGAUGAAGGACGUGCUAAUCUGCGAUAAGCGUCGGUAAGGUGAUAUGAACCGUUAUAACCGGCGAUUUCCGAAUGGGGAAACCCAGUGUGUUUCGACACACUAUCAUUAACUGAAUCCAUAGGUUAAUGAGGCGAACCGGGGGAACUGAAACAUCUAAGUACCCCGAGGAAAAGAAAUCAACCGAGAUUCCCCCAGUAGCGGCGAGCGAACGGGGAGCAGCCCAGAGCCUGAAUCAGUGUGUGUGUUAGUGGAAGCGUCUGGAAAGGCGCGCGAUACAGGGUGACAGCCCCGUACACAAAAAUGCACAUGCUGUGAGCUCGAUGAGUAGGGCGGGACACGUGGUAUCCUGUCUGAAUAUGGGGGGACCAUCCUCCAAGGCUAAAUACUCCUGACUGACCGAUAGUGAACCAGUACCGUGAGGGAAAGGCGAAAAGAACCCCGGCGAGGGGAGUGAAAAAGAACCUGAAACCGUGUACGUACAAGCAGUGGGAGCACAGAGCAAUCUGUGUGACUGCGUACCUUUUGUAUAAUGGGUCAGCGACUUAUAUUCUGUAGCAAGGUUAACCGAAUAGGGGAGCCGAAGGGAAACCGAGUCUUAACUGGGCGUUAAGUUGCAGGGUAUAGACCCGAAACCCGGUGAUCUAGCCAUGGGCAGGUUGAAGGUUGGGUAACACUAACUGGAGGACCGAACCGACUAAUGUUGAAAAAUUAGCGGAUGACUUGUGGCUGGGGGUGAAAGGCCAAUCAAACCGGGAGAUAGCUGGUUCUCCCCGAAAGCUAUUUAGGUAGCGCCUCGUGAAUUCAUCUCCGGGGGUAGAGCACUGUUUCGGCAAGGGGGUCAUCCCGACUUACCAACCCGAUGCAAACUGCGAAUACCGGAGAAUGUUAUCACGGGAGACACACGGCGGGUGCUAACGUCCGUCGUGAAGAGGGAAACAACCCAGACCGCCAGCUAAGGUCCCAAAGUCAUGGUUAAGKGGGAAACGAUGUGGGAAGGCCCAGACAGCCAGGAUGUUGGCUUAGAAGCAGCCAUCAUUUAAAGAAAGCGUAAUAGCUCACUGGUCGAGUCGGCCUGCGCGGAAGAUGUAACGGGGCUAAACCAUGCACCGAAGCUGCGGCAGCGACGCUUAUGCGUUGUUGGGUAGGGGAGCGUUCUGUAAGCCUGCGAAGGUGUGCUGUGAGGCAUGCUGGAGGUAUCAGAAGUGCGAAUGCUGACAUAAGUAACGAUAAAGCGGGUGAAAAGCCCGCUCGCCGGAAGACCAAGGGUUCCUGUCCAACGUUAAUCGGGGCAGGGUGAGUCGACCCCUAAGGCGAGGCCGAAAGGCGUAGUCGAUGGGAAACAGGUUAAUAUUCCUGUACUUGGUGUUACUGCGAAGGGGGGACGGAGAAGGCUAUGUUGGCCGGGCGACGGUUGUCCCGGUUUAAGCGUGUAGGCUGGUUUUCCAGGCAAAUCCGGAAAAUCAAGGCUGAGGCGUGAUGACGAGGCACUACGGUGCUGAAGCAACAAAUGCCCUGCUUCCAGGAAAAGCCUCUAAGCAUCAGGUAACAUCAAAUCGUACCCCAAACCGACACAGGUGGUCAGGUAGAGAAUACCAAGGCGCUUGAGAGAACUCGGGUGAAGGAACUAGGCAAAAUGGUGCCGUAACUUCGGGAGAAGGCACGCUGAUAUGUAGGUGAAGUCCCUUGCGGAUGGAGCUGAAAUCAGUCGAAGAUACCAGCUGGCUGCAACUGUUUAUUAAAAACACAGCACUGUGCAAACACGAAAGUGGACGUAUACGGUGUGACGCCUGCCCGGUGCCGGAAGGUUAAUUGAUGGGGUUAGCGCAAGCGAAGCUCUUGAUCGAAGCCCCGGUAAACGGCGGCCGUAACUAUAACGGUCCUAAGGUAGCGAAAUUCCUUGUCGGGUAAGUUCCGACCUGCACGAAUGGCGUAAUGAUGGCCAGGCUGUCUCCACCCGAGACUCAGUGAAAUUGAACUCGCUGUGAAGAUGCAGUGUACCCGCGGCAAGACGGAAAGACCCCGUGAACCUUUACUAUAGCUUGACACUGAACAUUGAGCCUUGAUGUGUAGGAUAGGUGGGAGGCUUUGAAGUGUGGACGCCAGUCUGCAUGGAGCCGACCUUGAAAUACCACCCUUUAAUGUUUGAUGUUCUAACGUUGACCCGUGAUCCGGGUUGCGGACAGUGUCUGGUGGGUAGUUUGACUGGGGCGGUCUCCUCCUAAAGAGUAACGGAGGAGCACGAAGGUUGGCUAAUCCUGGUCGGACAUCAGGAGGUUAGUGCAAUGGCAUAAGCCAGCUUGACUGCGAGCGUGACGGCGCGAGCAGGUGCGAAAGCAGGUCAUAGUGAUCCGGUGGUUCUGAAUGGAAGGGCCAUCGCUCAACGGAUAAAAGGUACUCCGGGGAUAACAGGCUGAUACCGCCCAAGAGUUCAUAUCGACGGCGGUGUUUGGCACCUCGAUGUCGGCUCAUCACAUCCUGGGGCUGAAGUAGGUCCCAAGGGUAUGGCUGUUCGCCAUUUAAAGUGGUACGCGAGCUGGGUUUAGAACGUCGUGAGACAGUUCGGUCCCUAUCUGCCGUGGGCGCUGGAGAACUGAGGGGGGCUGCUCCUAGUACGAGAGGACCGGAGUGGACGCAUCACUGGUGUUCGGGUUGUCAUGCCAAUGGCACUGCCCGGUAGCUAAAUGCGGAAGAGAUAAGUGCUGAAAGCAUCUAAGCACGAAACUUGCCCCGAGAUGAGUUCUCCCUGACUCCUUGA
rnacentral:rRNA from 1 species